AACCUGCCUUCACAUCCAGAGCUCACUGUGUGGCUCCAGGAUGCAAUGCUGGCCAAGUCACCUCUGUGAAGGUUUUCUCCUUCAUUCCUUCCCCUGUGAUUUUCCUAACUAUCUUCAUUCAGAAACACAGACGCUCUAGGCACUGACCUGGCAGAAAUGAGACUCGUUGGGUGGGGACAUCAAUGGCAAAGGCUCCUCACCGGCAGUCUCACUACUUCAUUGUUCUCACAUGUGUUGAGUAGCAUUUGGUUUAAAACAGAUUUUUGCAGUUCAUUCUCAGUUCAUGCUUUAUUGCUAAAAACAUAUGCAUACAGGUGCAGUUUCAAACUCUCACAGCAGCUCCUUCCAAGGAGUCAAAUUCCUUCAAAACUCCCAAAGACGCACAGAUUAUGAAGCUGCCUUUUUCAGGGCUCCAAACAUUCAGUGACGCUCUUUUAACGUCACCUCAUACACCAAUGGAGCAACGGAAGGUCACGCACGGAGGAGCAAGAGAACAGCAGCACCUGUACUUGAAGAGCAGACGUCCCACCACUCUCACCUAGAUUACUUGAAUAUUCUUAAUCCUUUUCAUUAUAGGGAUGGGUGGGUGUAAAGUUAAUGCCCAGGCUAGUAAUGCUUAAAAACUGAUACUAUGCUGGCAGAUCCUUGGGAUAGGGUGUCAGUGCUUAGGACUGGCCCCAAGGUCCAAGUGGUCUCCAAGACUAUAGCCCAAGCAAAAAGAAGCACAUUUAAAUUAAGGACACGGCACACAACUACCAAAGGUGUCAAAAUGUUUUGAAAAUCAUCAGUAAUCAUAACUAUAUUCUGCCUUUAAAGGUGUUUAUAAGUCUAAGCUCUACCAAAUAUACAUUUAAUUUUCCUGUGCGAUCCGUUUUAAUUGACUCUAGGGGACUAUUGGGCAAACAGUGCUAGAAGAAAGAGCUCUGACCUUGCAUCGUUAUUGGCUGGCAGGUACAUCAGUGAGUGGCAAAGAACAUUUCUGUCUGGAAUACACUGUACUUCUCAAUUCUGUAUUACGUGGAAAGUGAACAUCACACUGAUAACCUAAUUCAGUUCUGAACAAUGGAAGUUACUUUUCUAGGUGACAUCCACAGCAAUAAAAUAAUUAUUUUAACAACUGACUUUGUCUCGGUUGAAAUUGACAUCAUAAAGUUUCCCUGCACAGAAAACAGUAUGGAAUGGGUGGAAAGAGGGAAUCAUUUUCUUCCCUCUGAACCCUGGCAUUCACAUUCACCCCAGUUUCUUUCAUUGACGAGGAAGCCCACCCUCACACCUCAGGUGACACAGCCCACACAAGACAUGGGCUCCUUUCACUUCAAGUUGGCAAGCAGGGGUGUCGGCUGUGUUUUCUUUACUUUGAUAAAUUAUUUUCUAAUCCACAAUCACCAACAACUUAGGAUACUCCAUUUUUCUCUCUCCACCCAGGAAACUCUCCUGAACCAUAAAAGCAAAGCUACCAGGACUUCAUACCCCCGACAAAUAUGCCUGGGAGUUUGAGAACACGGCCCAAAGCCCUUGACAAAUCCUCCUAAUAAGGUAGUUGGGCGUACAAAAGAGGCCUUGCUCUAAGCUUUGAAACAGUUCUUAUCUGAUGAUCUUUUCAAUCUGUUUCUGUGGGAGAUUGAAAAGCAAUGCGUACCGAUAGCUAAUGGGAGGCUUAUCUGGAUGCCUAAGUAUUCACAUGUGUGCGGUAGAAACAUUCUACAGUUAAUGGAGGAAAGAGGAUCACGGGCUUGGCGGCCAUCCUUCAAGACCUGCGGAGGAGUUAGUUAUUCUGGGUGUUUUCUAGUCAAAGGUUUAAAAGCAAACUGCUCGUCAUUAUCAACCUGUGGGCUUGAGAUAAUACAGGGGCGUGAGAAGUGGCCUCCUCCAACCUCUCUCUAGUGAAAUCAGGGACAGGGCGCUCUCUCAGCUCUGUCUGUAAUGCAGUACGCCGUUCUCUGCACGUGAGAGCACACACUUACAGUUUAAGGCUAUGUUAGUCUUUGCUGUAGUUUUAUGUUUCAGACAAUUGCUUGCUCAUGUUCAUUGAGGAAGAGGAAGUAGAAUGUUAUGCAACUGGAUGGAAUCUCAGGAAUUAAUGCUGAUAUUUGGUAAGCUGUUUCCUCUUCUUCGUGUGUCUAAUUCAUGCUUUUCUGGACAAAUGUCAAAACUGCAGCCCUCAUCAGAAAUCUGUGUGCACAUGGUCAUUUGUGUGCACAUCUAUGUGCUUGUGCACCUAGACCUUGGCCAGAGGUCAUUGCCAAGUGUCUUUCUCUAUUACUCUCGGUCUUAUUUUUUGGCAUAAGACCUCUCACUGAGCUCAGCUCACUGAUUGGAUAGACUAGCUGGCCAGCAAGUUACAGGGUUCCUCCUGUCUCUGACUCCCUGACCACCACCAGAGUUGGGGUUACAGGCAUGUCUUGCCACACUCAGCAUUUUACCUGGAUGCUGGGGACUUGAGCUCAGAGCCUCCUGCUUGUACACUGGGCACCAUACUGGCUGAGCCGUCCCCUUAGCCUGCCUCAACAGAAAUUUUAAACUCAAAACAAAAACUUCUGAGUUCUUCGUUAACUUCCUGGUGUAAUUCUCUUAGAGAUUUAUUUUUGAAUGAGCACCAUUCUUAAUGUAGAUUCUUCACUAUUGCCUCAUCCCUGGAGAGGUGAAUGUAUAGGCAUAUUCAAGCAGGUUUCUCUGCUUGGCUCAGAAAGCCCUGUUUGCUUUUCCCCUUUGGACUGAAGUCCCUAGGGGAGAUUGAAGUUUGAAUGGGAAGCUUCUGUGGAAAUACAGACUAAAGUUAAGCCAAAAUUAGACAGUCUAUAAGGUCGCCUGGCUCCGGCCUGAGGCCAGUUGCACAGAGAUCCCAGGAGCAGCCUUCAGAGUGCUAGUCAUCAGCCAAGUGUGACACAUGGUUGCGUGUUCCUCAAGGUCUUCUUGGGCUGCCUCCCAGCAGCUUCUGAAGCCUGUUCCAAGGCUAACACUUGGUGUGUGUGUGUGUGUCUAAUCACUUUAGAUAAGCCAGUCCUGUUCUGACCUGGGCCUGUGGAGUUCUGGCCACACACUGCACACCCAGGGGGUGUGGAGGUGGGGAGCAGAGGCCAACCACUUCUGAGUUAGAGAUCUGCUCUCGUUGGCUGCUGUGUCCCACAGGAAAGCACAUUCUAACGCUCUUCCUGUGCCUACGAUUUGCGGCUGAGAAGCUAAUGAAUGACUGAAUCCUACCAUUCGCCUACAACACCCAAAUCCCAAAUCUGAUCUUGGAGAAUUACAUCUUGAAUGUGAUUUGUGCAGAUCCAUAUCCUGACCCUGUCUGCAGUGUGGCCUGGCGUGGCAGGGUUAGGAGUGGAAACUGUUGAAGGGCUAUGGAUGCCAACGAUGGUCAGGCGAGGUCCCCUCCCUGUGUGCUGCUUCUCAUGUUAAAUAUCUGCACGCUGCCCGGGUUUUUUGUUUUUUUAUAGGCAAACUGUGAGAUGACUUCCAUACUGUGAAGGAAAGCAGAGGCAGACUCCAAGCCCAGAAGAAGUCUCUACACUAAAAGAACUUUUAUCAUGAGCUUGUCUGGAAGCCAGAGACAGGCUGCCAGAGCAAGCUGCAGGCGGUGACUGGAGGCUUGGAGGAUGUUUCCCUUGAAGUCUGGUGGUCUAUCUUUCUACCUAAUUUCCUCAUUCCUCUCUCCUCCACCAAGAACCCUGCAAAAGGUGGGAGCAGGUCAGAGCUGGACUCCCACAGGGGGAAAGAAAGGAAAAAGCAUAAGGGCCAUGAAGAAAAAAGUCAGAUCGUGUGCUGCAAAAUCCCGUGGAGGAUCAUCAAAAGGACCUACUUCCUCCAGCUUGACCCCGCCUCCUAAGUUCCACAACCAGCUGUUCCAUGUGUGAGCCUUUGGGGACGGAGGUUCAUAUUCAACCCACAACACCAAGAAAUGAUUCAUAUUCUACCUUAUAUAUAAGCUGGCCGGCCUCAUUCCUCAUCUGAUACCACACUUUGUGUGCAUGUCCUGAACUAUCACACUCCAUCCAUUGAGUGUGCACGACUGUAGCAUGAAUCUUAAAAGAACUUAUUAAUUAAAACAAACCCGGAGCCAGGUAUUGGGGUGAAUGCUGGAAGAUCAGAGAAGCAGAACAAGCCACAGCUACCUCA